rnacentral:rRNA from 1 species
GACGAACGCUGGCGGCGUGCUUAACACAUGCAAGUCGAACGGUGAAGCGCCUUCCUUUUUGGUGGGUGUGGAUGAGUGGCGAACGGGUGAGUAACACGUGAGUAACCUGCCCCCUUCUUCUGGAUAACCGCAUGAAAGUGUGGCUAAUACUGGAUAUUCUGGGUCUGUCGCAUGAUGGGUCUGGGAAAGAUAUUGUUUCGGUGGGGGAUGGGCUCGCGGCCUAUCAGCUUGUUGGUGGGGUGAUGGCCUACCAAGGCGGUGACGGGUAGCCGGCCUGAGAGGGUGGACGGUCACACUGGGACUGAGACACGGCCCAGACUCCUACGGGAGGCAGCAGUGGGGAAUAAUGCACAAUGGGCGCAAGCCUGAUGCAGCGACGCCGCGGGAGGGAUGGAGGCCUUCGGGUUGUGAACCUCUUUCGCCAGUGAAGCAGGCCUGCCUCGUUUGUGGGUGGGUUGACGGUAGCUGGAUAAGAAGCGCCGGCUAACUACGUG